UACGAAGGGGGCUAGCGUUGUUCGGAAUUACUGGGCGUAAAGCGCACGUAGGCGGAUAUUUAAGUCAGGGGUGAAAUCCCAGAGCGCAACUCUGGAACUGCCUUUGAUACUGGGUAUCUAGAGUAUGGAAGAGGUGAGUGGAAUUCCGAGUGUAGAGGUGAAAUUCGUAGAUAUUCGGAGGAACACCAGUGGCGAAGGCGGCUCACUGGUCCAUUACUGACGCUGAGGUGCGAAAGCGUGGGGAGCAAACAGA
rnacentral:rRNA from 1 species